GGAUAUAGCUUAGUGGUAGAGCACUUGCCUAGCAUAUGUAAGGCCCUGAGUUCAAUCCCAGGUACCA
rnacentral:tRNA from 1 species